rnacentral:rRNA from 1 species
CCUACGGGAGGCAGCAAUGGGGAAUAUUGCACAAUGGGGGAAACCCUGAUGCAGCGACGCCGCGUGAGUGAAGAAGUAAUUCGUUAUGUAAAGCUCUAUCAGCAGGGAAGAAAAUGACGGUACCUGAGUAAGAAGCCCCGGCUAACUACGUGCCAGCAGCCGCGGUAAUACGUAGGGGGCAAGCGUUAUCCGGAUUUACUGGGUGGAAAGGGAGCGUAGACGGCAGUGCAAGUCUGGAGUGAAAGGCGGGGGCUCAACCCACGGACUGCUCUGGAAACUGUACGGCUGGAGUGCAGGAGAGGUAAGUGGAAUUCCUAGUGUAGCGGUGAAAUGCGUAGAUAUUAGGAGGAACACCAGUGGCGAAGGCGGCUUACUGGACUGUAACUGACGUUGAGGCUCGAAAGCGUGGGGAGCAAACAGGAUUAGAUACCCCGGUAGUC